rnacentral:rRNA from 2 species
GGCUCAGGAUGAACGCUAGCUACAGGCUUAACACAUGCAAGUCGAGGGGCAGCGAUGAAGAAAGCUUGCUUUCUUCAGGCGGCGACCGGCGCACGGGUGAGUAACGCGUAUCGAACCUGCCUCAUACUCAGGAAUAGCCUUGCGAAAGUAGAUUAAUGCCCGAUGUUAUUAGGAUAUCACAUGAUGUUUUAAUUAAAGAUUUAUCGGUAUGAGAUGGCGAUGCGUCCCAUUAGUUUGUUGGCGGGGUAACGGCCCACCAAGACAUCGAUGGGUAGGGGUUCUGAGAGGAAGGUCCCCCACAUUGGAACUGAGACACGGUCCAAACUCCUACGGGAGGCAGCAGUGAGGAAUAUUGGUCAAUGGACGCAAGUCUGAACCAGCCAAGUAGCGUGCAGGAAGACGGCCCUCUGGGUUGUAAACUGCUUUUAGUUGGGAAUAAAGUGCAUCACGUGUGAUGUUUUGUAUGUACCAUCAGAAAAAGGACCGGCUAAUUCCGUGCCAGCAGCCGCGGUAAUACGGAAGGUUCAGGCGUUAUCCGGAUUUAUUGGGUUUAAAGGGAGCGCAGGCGGACCUUUAAGUCAGCUGUGAAAUACGGCGGCUCAACCGUCGAACUGCAGUUGAUACUGGAGGUCUUGAGUGCACACAGGGAUACUGGAAUUCAUGGUGUAGCGGUGAAAUGCUCAGAUAUCAUGAAGAACUCCGAUCGCGAAGGCAGGUAUCCGGGGUGCAGCUGACGCUGAGGCUCGAAAGUGCGGGUAUCAAACAGGAUUAGAUACCCUGGUAGUCCGCACAGUAAACGAUGAAUACUCGCGAUUUGCGAUACACAGUAAGUCGCCAAGCGAAAGCGUUAAAUAUUCCACCUGGGGAGUACGCCGGCAACGGUGCAACUCAAAGGAAUUGACGGA